UGCAAGAGGGAGCACUCAAUGACUCAUUCUGAUUCAUUGAUUUUGAUUGUGAAGGGCUUCAUACAAUUCAGUUGAAUGAGCACUGAAGAUGUUGUCAUACAUUCUCUUAGUUCAAGAAAGAUCUCUUUGUAGAAGAUGUUUCAGAUGAUCAAACAAAAUUUCUUCUUGUGAAGCUCAGUGUCUGUCUUUUUAAGAAAAUCUGACAGCAGAGCAGUGAUUCAUGCAAAAUCCUUUACAAAUCUUCUGUAAUAGAAUGUCAGUUCUAGAAAUUGAUGUGUGUGGUGUAUGUUUCUAGAUCUUAGCCACUUCGCGAUAACUUCUAAUUUUUCAGGGAGGAGUUUUGGCAAGCGCCGAAACCAACCUCCAAGCACCCUCGCGCAGGGUCUAAUCUUUCGUUUUUAAUUCAUUCCUUCCGUGUUGCAUUGGCUGAGUAUUUUCGCUACAUCUCUUGUCAAAAAUCUCAACCUCUCACACAUUUUGGGGC
rnacentral:sRNA from 1 species